UACGAAGGGGGCUAGCGUUGUUCGGAAUUACUGGGCGUAAAGCGUAUGUAGGCGGAUCUUUAAGUCAGGGGUGAAAUCCCGAGGCUCAACCUCGGAACUGCCUUUGAUACUGGGGAUCUUGAGUCCGGGAGAGGUUAGUGGAACUGCGAGUGUAGAGGUGAAAUUCGUAGAUAUUCGCAAGAACACCAGUGGCGAAGGCGGCUAACUGGCCGGGUACUGACGCUGAAAUACGAAAGCGUGGGGAGCAAACAGG
rnacentral:rRNA from 1 species